AAACCAGCACCUCAAGUGGUCAGGAGGAUUAUUGGGCCUAAAGCAUCCGUAGCCUGUUCUGUAAGUUUUCGGUUAAAUCCAUUAGCUCAACUAAUGGGCUGCCGAAAAUACUGUAGAACUAGGGAGUGGGAGAGGUAGACGGUAUUUGGUAGGAAGGGGUAAAAUCCUUUGAUCUAUUGAGGACCACCUGUGGCGAAGGCGGUCUACCAGAACACGUUCGACGGUGAGGGAUGAAAGCUGGGGGAGCAAACCGGAUUAGAAACCCGAGUAGUCC
rnacentral:rRNA from 1 species